rnacentral:rRNA from 1 species
CCCUUAGAUGUUCUGGGCCGCACGCGCGCUACACUGCUGCAUUCAACGAGCCUAUCCUUGACCGACAGGUCCGGGUAAUCUUUGAAUCUGCAUCGUGACGGGGAUAGAUUAUUGCAAUUAUUAAUCUUCAACGAGGAAUGCCUAGUAGGCGCAAGUCAUCAGCUUGCGUCGAUUACGUCCCUGCCCUUUGUACACACCGCCCGUCGCUCCUACCGAUUGGGUGUGCUGGUGAAAUGUUCGGAUCGGCCGUUUGUCGCGGUUUCCGCGUCAUGUGGCUGAGAAGUUCAUUAAACCCUCCCACCUAGAGGAAGGAGAAGUCGUAACA